rnacentral:rRNA from 1 species
AUUGAACGCUGGCGGCAGGCCUAACACAUGCAAGUCGAACGGCAGCACAGAAGAGCUUGCUCUUUGGGUGGCGAGUGGCGGACGGGUGAGUAACGUCUGGGAAACUGCCCGAUGGAGGGGGAUAACUACUGGAAACGGUAGCUAAUACCGCAUAACGUCGCAAGACCAAAGUGGGGGACCUUCGGGCCUCACACCAUCGGAUGUGCCCAGAUGGGAUUAGCUAGUAGGUGGGGUAAUGGCUCACCUAGGCGACGAUCCCUAGCUGGCCUGAGAGGAUGACCAGCCACACUGGAACUGAGACACGGUCCAGACUCCUACGGGAGGCAGCAGUGGGGAAUAUUGCACAAUGGGCGCAAGCCUGAUGCAGCCAUGCCGCGUGUAUGAAGAAGGCCUUCGGGUUGUAAAGUACUUUCAGCGGGGAGGAAGGCGGUGAAGUUAAUAGCUUCACCGAUUGACGUUACCCGCAGAAGAAGCACCGGCUAACUCCGUGCCAGCCGCCGCCGUAA